rnacentral:rRNA from 1 species
GACGUAGGGGGCCAGCGUUGCUCGGAAUCACUGGGCGUAAAGCGCACGUAGGCGGAUUGUUAAGUCAGGGGUGAAAUCCUGGAGCUCAACUCCAGAACUGCCUUUGAUACUGACGGUCUUGAGUCCGGGAGAGGUGAGUGGAACUGCGAGUGUAGAGGUGAAAUUCGUAGAUAUUCGCAAGAACACCAGUGGCGAAGGCGGCUCACUGGCCCGAUACUGACGCUGAGGCACGAAAGCGUGGGGAGCAAACAGG